CAGACACUGCCUCUUGCUCUGCUGGAGGUCGUUGCCAUGGAGACGUGGGGUCAGCCAGACCCUGCUCAUCAGUGUUCAGAGAUGACCUGGCACGGAUGACUUCAGCUUUCAUCUAUCGGUGUCCAGGACAAAGAGUUUUAGCAGUGCUAGUUGACCCCACAAACACAUCCCUUGGUGACCGUACUCCCCUGCAUGUCCUUCCUGCUAUGUCCGCCUCUCCGUAUCCAUUCAGAUGGGGAAUGCACUGUGCCCUCUUUGUGGGGUCAGUCCCAUCUCUGUGGCAGCUGCUCCAGGUGUCCAGCUCUACCUGCCGAC